UACGAGUGCUUCGAGCGUUAUCCGGAAUCAUUGGGCGUAAAGGGUGUGUAGGCGGUGUCAUUAGUCCGUUGUAAAAUUCCUCGGCUCAACCGAGGGCUCGCAAUGGAAACGGUGACACUAAGAGGAUGGAAGGGGUCUCUGGAACUCAUGGUGUAGCGGUGAAAUGCGUUGAUAUCAUGGGGAACACCAAAAGCGAAGGCAAGAGACUGGUCCACUCCUGACGCUGAAACACGAAAGCGUGGGUCGCGAAUGGG
rnacentral:rRNA from 1 species